CACGUAGGGCGCAAGCGUUGUCCGGAAUUAUUGGGCGUAAAGAGCUCGUAGGCGGUCUGUUGCGUCCGCUGUGAAAACUCGGGGCUUAACCCCGAGCCUGCAGUGGAUACGGGCAGACUAGAGGUAGGUAGGGGAGAAUGGAAUUCCCGGUGUAGCGGUGAAAUGCGCAGAUAUCGGGAGGAACACCGGUGGCGAAGGCGGGUUCUCUGGG
rnacentral:rRNA from 1 species